GGGAUGUCAACAUGGCAGUGAACGGAGUGGCCAGGACAAACAUUCUCGGUGGGCGGCUUUGGUAACUGAGUGGCGGACGGGUGAGUAACGCGUGGACAACCUGCCGUGUACAGGGGGAUAACAGCCGGAAACGGCUGCUAAUACCGCAUAUGCGCACAGUGCCGCAUGGCACAGGGCGGAAAACGAUAGUGGUACACGAUGGGUCCGCGUCUGAUUAGAUAGUUGGCGGGGUAACGGCCCACCAAGUCGACGAUCAGUAGCCGGCCUGAGAGGGCGGACGGCCACACUGGGACUGAGACACGGCCCAGACUCCUGCGGGAGGCAGCAGUGGGGAAUAUUGCACAAUGGGGGGAACCCUGAUGCAGCGACGCCGCGUGAAGGAAGAAGUAUUUCGGUAUGUAAACUUCUAUCAGCAGGGAAGAAAAAGGACGGUACCUGACUAAGAAGCCCCGGCUAACUACGUGCCAGCAGCCGCGGUAAUACGUAGGGGGCGAGCGUUAUCCGGAUUUACUGGGUGUAAAGGGGGCGCAGACGGCCAUGGCAAGCCCGGUGUGAAAGGUGCGGGCACAACCCGCAGACUGCACUGGUAACUGCCUGGCUGGAGUGCCGGAGGGGUAAGCGGAAUUCCUGGUGUAGCGGUGAAAUGCGUAGAUAUCANGAGGAACACCGGUGGCGAAGGCGGCUUACUGGACGGCAACUGACGUUGAGGCCCGAAAGCGUGGGGAACGAACAGGAUUAGAUACCCUGGUAGUCCACGCCCUAAACGAUGUAUACCAGGUGUCGGAAGUCAAAGGCAUUCGGUGCCGAAGCCAACGCAUUUAGUAUAACACCUGGGGAAUACGUUCGCAAG
rnacentral:rRNA from 1 species